rnacentral:rRNA from 1 species
UACGAAGGGGGCUAGCGUUGUUCGGAAUUACUGGGCGUAAAGCGUGCGCAGGCGGCUUCUCAAGUCAGGGGUGAAAGCCCAGAGCUCAACUCUGGAAUUUCCUUUGAGACUGAGUGGCUUGAGUACGAGAGAGGUGAGUGGAAUUCCCAGUGUAGAGGUGAAAUUCGUAGAUAUUGGGAAGAACACCGGUGGCGAAGGCGGCUCACUGGCUCGUAACUGACGCUCAUGCACGACAGCGUGGGGAUCAAACAGG